rnacentral:rRNA from 1 species
AUGAAAAUCUUUAAAUGGCCGCAGUACCCUGACUGUGCUAAGGUAGCAUAAUCAAUUGGCCUUUAAUUGAGGUCUGGAAUGAAUGGGUUAAUACGGAAGUAAUCUGUCUCUAUUAAAGUUUGUUGAAGUUAUCUGUAAAGGUGAAAAGCCCUUUAAUACGAAAAUAGACGAGAAGACCCUAAGAGUUUUAAUUAUAUGUAAAGGUUUUUACUUUUUUUUUUGCUGGGGCGGCAAAGAAACAGACUAACUUUCUUGCUUUUAUUUAUAAAUUGACGCGAUUUUAUGAAGAACUAAUAAACUACCUUAGGGAUAACAGCAUAAUUAUUUUAAUGUUUGUGACCUCGAUGUUGGACUAGGAAAGCUUUCGGCUAGCCGCCGACGGUAUUAUGUUCUGUUCGAACAAA